UACGUCGGUCCCGAACGUUGCGCGAAUUUACUGGGCGUAAAGGGUCCGUAGGCGGUUUAGCAAGUGGUUGGUGAAAUUUCACGGCUCAACCGUGAAACUGCCUUCCAAACUGCUAAACUUGAGGCAGGGAGAGGUCGGCGGAAUUCCCGGUGUAGCGGUGAAAUGCGUAGAUAUCGGGUGGAACACCAGUGGCGAAGGCGGACGACUGGGACUGUCCUGACGCUGAGGGACGAAAGCUAGGGGAGCAAACCGG
rnacentral:rRNA from 1 species